AAAGUCGUAACAAGGUUUCCGUAGGUGAACCUGCGGAAGGAUCAAUACGAAGAGAGAGUGGGGAGAUAAGUGGAAAUAUCAGAGAAACAAUUGACAACAUUAUACAUACACACAUUUUACAACUCAUAACAAUGGAUCUCUGGGCUCUU
rnacentral:misc_RNA from 1 species